CCAUACCAUUGUGUUCGGCUAAAUUCAGGUUUUUCCCAUGCGAAAUGUCGAUAACUAAGUUUUCAGUUUAUAAAACCAAGAUAUUACUCUUUAAAUCGAAGAAAAAAACACGCAAUUUCUGCUCACGUUGACUCCGGAUUUGUGUCGACCGCUACUUAGUGUUUACUUUGUAUUCUACUAUUGCGAACAUGUUGGUCAACUUGGAGACGAUCGUUUUGAAGUGGUUAAUAUAACUGGUUCAUAUGUGACAUGCUAAACGAGUAUGCUAUAUUUGGUCAUACCAGUUUAAACCGCUGACACCGUCACACAGUGGAAAAACCUUCCGACAAAACCUUCAAAUUUUCGACAACCCCCCCCCCCCCAAUUUGCACCCGAAAUUCGUCAACUUUUGUUUGGGGGGGGGGGGAAACCCCACCGAAAUUUCCGCCACUGCUGUCACAGCAUUACUAGUUAUUCACGAAAGGUCGAGUGAGUGGAAUCACUGUCAAUGUUUUCAUGGUUUAUCUUUCCAAAGCAAGUACGAAAAUUCAUUACUCAUUACUCGUUACCAUGGUUAAAAGCGGGCAUCGUGGACAUUUGGAGAUAAUAGGGAAUCUUCAUUCUUCCCGUCAUCCCCCGCGCGCCCACUUCUCUGCCUAGCCCGCGACUGCCCGCAAGCCAAAUUUAUGGAAAGCAAACAAACAGUAGCGUAACGGCUCAUUGGUUAGGGUUAGUUAAAAAACUAAGGGUCCCCAACAGUUAGGGGCCCCCAUCAGCCACGGCACAUAGGCC